UUUUUAUGAGAGUUUGAUCCUGGCUCAGGACGAACGCUGGCGGCGUGCCUAAUACAUGCAAGUCGAACGCUUCUUUUUCCACCGGAGCUUGCUCCACCGAAAAAAGAAGAGUGGCGAACG
rnacentral:rRNA from 1 species